UACGUAGGGCGCAAGCGUUGUCCGGAAUUAUUGGGCGUAAAGAGCUCGUAGGCGGCUUGUCGCGUCGGUUGUGAAAGCCCGGGGCUUAACUCCGGGUCUGCAGUCGAUACGGGCAGGCUAGAGUUCGGUAGGGGAGAUCGGAAUUCCCGGUGUAGCGGUGAAAUGCGCAGAUAUCGGGAGGAACACCGGUGGCGAAGGCGGUUCUCUGGGCCUUACCUGACGCUGAGGAGCGAAAGCGUGGGGAGCGAACAGG
rnacentral:rRNA from 1 species